GGGUUGUUAGCUCAGUUGGUAGAGCAGCGGACUCUUAAUCCGUCGGUCGAGAGUUCGAAUCUCUCACAACCCACCA
rnacentral:tRNA from 1 species